AGACUAAAUGCCUAGGGUCCUGUCCCCCCCUCCUUCUAGACCGCUGGUCUUGAAGGAGGGGGGGACAGGACCCUAGGCAUAGGUGAAGC
rnacentral:miRNA from 1 species